UUUUAUCAGUGAGUGGCGAACGGGUGAGUAAUACAUAAGUAACCUGCCCUCAUGAGGGGGAUAACUAUUAGAAAUGAUAGCUAAGACCGCAUAGGUGAAGGGGUCGCAUGACCGCUUCAUUAAAUAUCCGUAUGGAUAGCAGGAGGAUGGACUUAUGGCGCAUUAGCUGGUUGGUGAGGUAACGGCUCACCAAGGCGACGAUGCGUAGCCGACCUGAGAGGGUGGACGGCCACACUGGGACUGAGACACGGCCCAGACUCC
rnacentral:rRNA from 1 species